rnacentral:rRNA from 1 species
AUUGAACGCUGGCGGCAUGCCUUACACAUGCAAGUCGAACGGCAGCACGGGGCAACCUGGUGGCGAGUGGCGAACGGGUGAGUAAUGCAUCGGAACGUGCCAUUGAGUGGGGGAUAACGUAGCGAAAGUUGCGCUAAUACCGCAUAUUCUGUGAGCAGGAAAGCAGGGGACCGCAAGGCCUUGCGCUCUUUGAGCGGCCGAUGUCAGAUUAGCUAGUUGGUGAGGUAACGGCUUACCAAGGCGACGAUCUGUAGCGGGUCUGAGAGGAUGAUCCGCCACACUGGAACUGAGACACGGUCCAGACUCCUACGGGAGGCAGCAGUGGGGAAUUUUGGACAAUGGGCGCAAGCCUGAUCCAGCCAUGCCGCGUGAGUGAAGAAGGCCUCGGUUGUAAGC